UACGAAGGGGGCUAGCGUUGCUCGGAAUGACUGGGCGUAAAGCGCGUGUAGGUGGUGGGACAAGUCUGCUGUGAAAGCGCCUGGCUUAACCGGGCGAGGUCGGCGGAAACUGUCCGACUAGAGGACGGUAGAGGGGGGUGGAAUUCCGGGUGUAGCGGUGGAAUGCGUAGAGAUCCGGAAGAACACCGGUGGCGAAGGCGGUGAGCUGGGCAGUUGCUGACACUGAGGCGCGACAGCGUGGGGAGCAAACAGG
rnacentral:rRNA from 1 species